AUUGAACGCUGGCGGCAGGCCUAACACAUGCAAGUCGAGCGAGCGGCGGACGGGUGAGUAAUGUAUGGGGACUGCCCGAUAGAGGGGGAUAACUACUGGACACGGUGGCUAAUCACGCAUACUAUCGGAUAACCCAUAUGGGAUUAGGUAGUAGGUGGGGUAAAGGCUCACCUAGGGGACGAUCUCUAGCUGGUCUGAGAGGAGGAGCAGCCACAUUGGGACUUAGACACGGCCCCUCCUCCUACGGUGGCAGCAGUGGGGAAUAUUGCACAAUGGGAGCAAGCCUUAUGCAGCCAUGCCGCGUGUAUGAAGAAGGCCUUAGGGUUGUAAAGUACUUUCCGCGGGGAGGCGUUACCCGCAGAAGAAGCACCGGCUAACUCCGUGCCAGCAGCCGCGGUAAUAC
rnacentral:rRNA from 1 species